rnacentral:rRNA from 1 species
UCUACGGGUGGCAGCAGUGGGGAAUAUUGGACAAUGGGCGAAAGCCUGAUCCAGCCAUGCCGCGUGUGUGAAGAAGGCCUUCGGGUUGUAAAGCACUUUCAGUGGGGAAGAAAGCCUUGGGGCUAAUACCCUCGAGGAAGGACAUCACCCACAGAAGAAGCACCGGCUAACUCCGUGCCAGCAGCCGCGGUAAUACGGAGGGUGCGAGCGUUAAUCGGAAUUACUGGGCGUAAAGCGCGCGUAGGCGGUCUGAUAAGCCGGUUGUGAAAGCCCCGGGCUCAACCUGGGAACGGCAUCCGGAACUGUCAGGCUAGAGUGCAGGAGAGGAAGGUAGAAUACGCGGUGUAGCGGUGAAAUGCGUAGAGAUCGGGAGGAAUACCAGUGGCGAAGGCGGCCUACUGGACUGACACUGACGCUGAGGUGCGAAAGCGUGGGUAGCAAACAGGAUUAGAUACCCUAGUAGUC